GUUCCGGAAAGGCUCGGGAGUGCUCCCGCGUUUUGGUUCAGUGACGUCGUAAAUUAAAAUGAAGCAUCCAGUUUAGCUACAGCAGAGAUGACGACUCUGCGAUUCUGAAUCCCUAGCGAGCCCGGGCUAGCGAAAAGUGGGGGCAGAACGAACUACAACUCCCAUCGUGCCAGCGGGCGGUCCCGCCCGUUUUCCCCUGGGGAUUGUAGUCUAACCGCCCCCCCACGCUUGGAUCCAACAGCAACCUCAGUGCGUGAACUCUGUUACCCAGAAGUCCUCGCCCGGCCGCCACCGAAGCUGGAAUUCGUCGGCUAGUAGUUCUCGCCGGCUACUAGAGGAACCUGGCGUGGCCCAGAAGGCUCAGCGGGAUUGCAGAGGUUAGUUGCUAAGCAAGGUGGUCUUUCGUCAACUGCCUCCUGGACCAAGGCAACAGGAACCCUCAGAUUCAUCGCUACCCCGAGGCUAAGCGCCAUGCCUCAUAUUGACAACGAUGUGAAACUAGACUUCAAGGAUGUCCUUUUGAGGCCGAAACGCAGUACUCUUAAGUCUCGAAGUGAGGUGGAUCUCACAAGAUCCUUUUCAUUUCGGAACUCAAAGCAGACAUACACUGGGGUUCCCAUCAUUGCUGCCAAUAUGGAUACUGUGGGCACCUUUGAGAUGGCCAAGGUUCUCUUUCUCUCUCUUCACUGCUGUCCAUAAGCACUACAGCCUUGAAGAGUGGCAAGAGUUUGCUGGCCAGAAUCCUGAUUGUCUUGAGCAUCUGGCUGCCAGCUCAGGCACAGGCGCUUCGGACUUUGAGCAGCUGGAACAGAUCCUGGAAGCUAUUCCCCAGGUGAAGUAUAUAUGCCUGGAUGUGGCAAAUGGCUACUCCGAACACUUUGUUGAAUUUGUAAAAGAUGUACGGAAGCGCUUCCCCCAGCACACCAUCAUGGCAGGGAAUGUGGUAACAGGAGAGAUGGUAGAAGAGCUAAUCCUUUCUGGGGCUGACAUCAUCAAAGUGGGAAUUGGGCCAGGCUCUGUGUGUACUACUCGGAAGAAAACUGGAGUGGGGUAUCCACAGCUCAGUGCAGUAAUGGAGUGUGCAGAUGCUGCUCAUGGCCUCAAAGGCCACAUCAUUUCAGAUGGAGGUUGCAGCUGUCCUGGGGAUGUGGCCAAGGCUUUUGGGGCAGGAGCUGACUUCGUGAUGCUAGGUGGCAUGCUGGCUGGACAUAGUGAGUCAGGUGGUGAGCUCAUCGAGAGGGACGGCAAGAAGUACAAGCUCUUCUAUGGAAUGAGUUCUGAAAUGGCCAUGAAGAAGUAUGCUGGGGGCGUGGCUGAGUACAGGUAUGUGUGGAGGCCCAGGAGCUUAGUAAUAGUAUGGAGGCAGAACUCAUGGCUGCUGAGAGGGGGAUGGUACAGUUCUAAGGAGAAGCAUGGUGAACCAGGGCUCAAUGCUAGGGUCUAGGGAAAAGUCCCUGGACUUAAGGAAUCCAGGAGGAGAUAAUAAAGUUUUUCCUACUUUAAGAGCCUCAGAGGGAAAGACAGUGGAAGUUCCUUUUAAAGGAGAUGUGGAACAUACCAUCCGAGACAUCCUAGGAGGGAUCCGCUCUACGUGUACCUAUGUGGGAGCAGCUAAGCUCAAAGAGUUGAGCAGAAGAACUACCUUCAUCCGAGUCACCCAGCAGGUGAAUCCAAUCUUCAGUGAGGUGCGCUAGACCUGGGCAGUUCUACCCUCCCAAGGCACAAGUACUCUACCAUGGGGCAUCCCAAGUGGGCUCCUCACCCAUCCCAGCUACUGCAGCUCUGUAUUACUUUGUCAUUUCCUGUUGUCUCACUCCUGAGGGCUCCUGCAGUAACUCUGUACUUCUCUAUCUGCACACACAAAAUGCCCAAGACACUCACUGGGGAGGAAGCAAGGAAGAAAACAGUCUGAGAAAAUGACGCAAGAUAAUCAAAUGGGAAUCUGGGGACCCAACAUCCUGAAGAUUAUUAAAAGGAAAAGAUGCUGAUUGGUACAUAAGUCUCUUAUAUGACCUUGGUCUAGAGGAGGCAGGCUUUUAGAAUCAUGUUUUGUUAAUCUGCUUCACUAAAUGGGACCUUCACAUAUCUAAAAAGCUCUGAAGUGUUUGUAUAUUUGAGAUACCUCAAUAAAGAGAGAGCUCAUUGACUGUAAA